rnacentral:rRNA from 1 species
UACGUAGGUGGCAAGCGUUAUCCGGAAUUAUUGGGUGUAAAGCGCGCGCAGGCGGUUUCUUAAGUCUGAUGUGAAAGCCCACGGCUCAACCGUGGAGGGUCAUUGGAAACUGGGGAACUUGAGUGCAGAAGAGAAAAGCGGAAUUCCACGUGUAGCGGUGAAAUGCGUAGAGAUGUGGAGGAACACCAGUGGCGAAGGCGGCUUUUUGGUCUGUAACUGACGCUGAGGCGCGAAAGCGUGGGGAGCAAACAGG